rnacentral:lncRNA from 1 species
UUUUUUUCUCAUCUGUUUUCUUUUUUUAUAAUUUUAUUUCCUUUUUUUAUUAAUUUUACGUGGCACUUUAAUUGGUGUAGAAGGGUGAGGUGAAUUAGAGAAUUCACCAUAGGGGGUGAACCCAAGUUUUUUACUAUUGAAAUAGCCAUAAAAACUAAACGAUAGUUACAAAAGAAAUUGUAACUAUUCCCAAUUUUUAUAUAUAGUGUUAGAAAUAACAAAAAAAAUAAUCAAAAUCAACUCCAUAUAACUUUAUUCAAAAAUACUUUUCCAAUGUAUUUCUAUACAUUGAUUAACAUCCAAAGGCUAUUUUUUUUGUUUACUGAAUAAAGGCUAUAUUGUUGCCUAUAAUAUAUCAUAUUAUGAUCAGUUAAUACAUAUCUCGACUUUUAAAUGGAUAUUUUCUUUGUAUACCAUUUCAAUGAAAACUAUGUACAACGAAGAAGUGGUCCACUAUACGUGGAUUCCCUACGAAGAUCUGCAUCGAUUUCCUUAGUCCCCACCUUCACUUUCCUUUUUCCUUUUAUCACCGAACCAAAUUAUUAUAUCGUCGUAAUAUUUUUUUUUUGAGCUAUAUAUUAAACUUCCACAUUCACAUCGCAUUUUAGUUAUGUUAUACACUUUCAAAAUUCAGUUUUUUGUGUGUGUGUGUUAAAAUACAGCUCAAGUUUGUUUUUUUCCCGAAACUCGUUUUUUCUCCUUAGCAGUUAAGAAACUCAAAUUAAUGAUUUUCACCAAUAUGUCGAUCACAAGAUCGGUGUGGUAUGAAACUCAUAGUACUUUUUUUUUAUUCUUGAUCAAAAUGUGUAUAUUAA